rnacentral:rRNA from 1 species
CCUACGGGGGGCAGCAGUGGGGAAUAUUGCACAAUGGGGGAAACCCUGAUGCAGCGACGCCGCGUGAGUGAAGAAGUAUCUCGGUACGUAAAGCUCUAUCAGCAGGGAAGAAAAUGACGGUACCUGACUAAGAAGCCCCGGCUAACUACGUGCCAGCAGCCGCGGUAAUACGUAGGGGGCAAGCGUUAUCCGGAUUUACUGGGUGUAAAGGGAGCGUAGACGGCAGCACAAGUCUGGAGUGAAAUCCCGGGGCUUAACCCCGGAACUGCUUUGGAAACUGUGCGGCUGGAGUGCAGGAGGGGUAAGCGGAAUUUCGAGUGUAGCGGGGGAAUGGGUAGAGAUUAGGAGGAAAACCGGUGGCGAAGGCGGGUUAACGGAACGGAA